GUGGGGGUGAGGGCCAGCUGGUAUACUGGCCUGCUGACAUGGGAUAGGGUGAAUACUGUGUGCCUGUGAGCCCAGGAAAAGAAGAGGGAAAUGUUUCUUUACCACCAGGUUGAAAUCAUUUCAAGGUUGCCCCAUAAGAGACACAGGGAAAGAUGGCAUCUGGCAGAGACUGGGAAUAUCCAAGAAGGGAGCCCGACACUCAUGUGGCCAGGUCUGCUGUGAGACCAAGCCUAUGUGAGUUGGCUAGAAAUGAAUACCACUUGGUGGAGAGCUGUCAUCCCAAACCGAGACUAUCCAGGGCGGCCAGCACCCACUUCACCUGCCAGCUAACUUCAGAUACACGAGUGAGCUGA
rnacentral:lncRNA from 1 species